AAAACCCUGCGAUGCUCGUGCAUUGCCGUCUCGUUUUGAGCCAACAUAGAUUAUACGGGAGCCUGGACUCUGGUUGUGGUUUGCAUGCCUUUCAUUUUAUGUCAGGAGCGAUGAAACAGACAGGAGGGCACCCACCUGCGUGAGCAGGUUCAAAACAGCGGCCCCACGGCAUAGGUGGGGUUUUU
rnacentral:other from 1 species